rnacentral:rRNA from 1 species
AGUCCCGCAACGAGCGCAACCCUUAUCCUUAGUUGCCAGCGCGUAAAGGCGGGAACUCUGGGGAGACUGCCGGUGAUAAACCGGAGGAAGGUGGGGACGACGUCAAGUCAUCAUGGCCCUUACGGGAUGGGCUACACACGUGCUACAAUGGCGCAUACAAUGGGAAGCUAACUCGCGAGAGUACGCGGAUCUCAAAAAGUGCGUCGUAGUCCGGAUUGGAGUCUGCAACUCGACUCCAUGAAGUCGGAAUCGCUAGUAAUCGUGGAUCAGAAUGCCACGGUGAAUACGUUCCCGGGCCUU